rnacentral:lncRNA from 1 species
GCCCCCGCCUCGGGCGCCACGCAGGCAGCGCUCCCGGCGGGGCGCCCCGCUCUGCGCCGUUCCCUCCGCCGUCGCCCAGCCACCGCCUUUCGCACGCGCCGGAACCGCUUUUGUGGUCUCCGAGACACUCAUUUGCUGUCCUGGUUUCCAAAGCUCCACGUGCUCAGCGCCGAAAACUUGCAAAUCAUUUGCUGUCUAUACUGGGCGCCCGCUGCGUGCCAGGUACUGCCACCGGCUCUCUCCUCACGGUGGAAUAACUUAACAGAGAAGACAGACAUCAAUCAAAUACCCUGGAAACGUGGAAGCCCCGCGCCAGCUCCAGGCACAGCCGUUCAGGGUGAUGCCAAAGGGAAAUGAGAACGCCUGGUUUCGAGUGCCAGCCUGAGGCCCCUUAAGCCCUAGCCUGGCUCCAAAAACUGCAGCCUGUUUCCCUCAACAAAAAUGACGUCAAGAAUACCUAGAUGUGACCACACCGAACUUGCUUGCCCGUUUUGGGAAACCCAACUUUCUUCCUGAAUAGUCAGAACCUCUGGCUUUCCUGGUCUCUUAAGAACCGCAAACUAUUGAAAAGCAGAUGCGUCUUUCAGCCUCUUUAAUAAAUGCAGUAAGGAGA